rnacentral:lncRNA from 1 species
CGUGAGCCUGCCAGCAUAGCCAGACAUCAGUGAGCUCUCCUGGUGUGCCUUUGGCUUAUUAGGAGUAAUCCUUGCUAUUUUUCAUUUUGUUGAAAACCAGAGCUGUUAUGAUGCAGGCCCUCUUUAUCUGCUAAGAUGAAGAGAAAUGCAGCCCUAACUACAAAAUAAGCUGAGCACAUUUUACCCAAAUGUGGGGGCCAUGAUAAAGCAGGACAUUUCCCCACCCAAUAAACCAGGUUCAAGUGCUGCUUGCAAAUCCUUGAGUUGGUCAAAGGCUUCUCAGGUGAAAGAUGUUGGGAACUGAGGAAUCUCUGCAUCUGGAAGUUAGGAGGGAGAAGUACUAGAAAUUGAGGGCUCUCGACAUGUGCAGAGGAGCAGCACAGCACCUGGCUCUCGAUACAGCCCUCAGAUGAAGGAGGCAAAAUAGCACUUCAGGCACUGUAAAGAGGAUCUGCUUCUUUGAUGUGGACAUUGCGGAGUUUAACUGGCAGAAGGCACGAAGCUGCACUGUUCAGAAGAAGCAAGAUUCUUUCCUCACAGCUACGGCACUGCGACACAGCCUGCUUUUUCGCAUCUACCUGGGUGGCUGCUGCUGGUUCUGCUACUGCUGCAGCCUCGCUGCCUGCGCUUCACCCCAGCUUGGCUGAUGCGAGUCUCCCUCGUCUGCACAUCGCUAAGGAAGAGAAGCGAUGGAGCCACAGUUUUUCUGUUGGUUCUGGAAGCAAAGGGUUGUGAUGUGGGGUGGCUUGGGGGUUUUCUUUUUUUGGUGGGGGGAGAAAGGAGGGAUGUUAAUCUAGGGUGGAGUGGGUAAAAGCCUAAAGAAAUAUGAUGAAAAGUAAUCCAGUGCUCAACAAGGGCAUCAGCAGCAAGAAUCCAGCCUC